GAUGAACGCUAGCGGCAGGCUUAAUACGUGCAAGUCGAGGGGCAGCAUGAUUGUAGCAAUACAAUUGAUGGCGACCGGCAAACGGGUGCGGAACACGUACACAACCUUCCAACAAGUGGGGGAUAGCCCAGAGAAAUUUGGAUUAAUACCCCGUAACAUAGCGAUGUGGCAUCACAUUGCUAUUAUAGAUUUUUCGCUUGUUGAUGGGUGUGCGGCUGAUUAGAUAGUUGGCGGGGUAACGGCCCACCAAGUCUACGAUCAGUAGCUGAUGUGAGAGCAUGAUCAGCCACACGGGCACUGAGACACGGGCCCGACUCCUACGGGAGGCAGCAGUAAGGAAUAUUGGACAAUGGACGCAAGUCUGAUCCAGCCAUGCCGCGUGAAGGAUUAAGGUCCUCUGGAUUGUAAACUUCUUUUAUAAGGGACGAAAAAAGGCUUUUCUAAGUCGUCUGACGGUACCUUAUGAAUAAGCACCGGCUAACUCCGUGCCAGCAGCCGCGGUAAUACGGAGGGUGCAAGCGUUAUCCGGAUUCACUGGGUUUAAAGGGUGCGUAGGCGGGCAGGUAAGUCAGUGGUGAAAUCCUAGAGCUUAACUCUAGAACUGCCAUUGAUACUAUCUGUCUUGAAUAUUGUGGAGGUAAGCGGAAUAUGUCAUGUAGCGGUGAAAUGCUUAGAUAUGACAUAGAACACCUAUUGCGAAGGCAGCUUACUACGCAUAUAUUGACGCUGAGGCACGAAAGCGUGGGGAUCAAA
rnacentral:rRNA from 1 species